rnacentral:rRNA from 1 species
AGCAGCCGCGGUAAUUCCAGCUCCAAUAGCGUAUAUUAAAGUUGUUGCAGUUAAAAAGCUCGUAGUUGAAUUUCGGGACUAAUAUGUCGGUCGUACUUUGUACGUACUAGCAUUAUUGGUUUCUCCCUUCUGACGAACCACGAUGUCAUUAAUUUGGUGUCAUGGGAAAUCAGGACUGUUACUUUGAAAAAUUAGAGUGUUUAAAGCAAGCUCGCGCUUGAAUACAUUAGCAUGGAAUAAUGAAAUAGGACGUUUGAUUCUAUUUUGUUGGUUUCUAGGAUCGACGUAAUGAUUAAUAGGGAUAGUUGGGGGCAUUAGUAUUCAAUUGUCAGAGGUGAAAUUCUUGGAUUUAUUGAAGACUAACUACUGCGAAAGCAUUUGCCAAGGAUGUUUUCAUUAAUCAAGAACGAAAGUUAGGGGAUCGAAGACGAUCAGA